rnacentral:rRNA from 1 species
AGAGUUUGAUCAUGGCUCAGGAGAACGCUGCGGCGUGCUUAACACAUGCAAGUCGAACGAGGCACUUGUGCCUAGUGGCGAACGGGUGAGUAACACGUGAGCAACCUGCCCCUGGCUCUGGGAUAGCCUCCGGAAACGGGGAUUAAUACCGGACAUGACCUGCUGCGGCAUCGCGGCGGGUGGAAAGUUUUUCGGCCGGGGAGGGGCUCGCGGCCUAUCAGCUUGUUGGGGGGGUAACGGCCCACCAAGGCGACGACGGGUAGCCGGCCUGAGAGGGCGACCGGCCACACUGGGACUGAGACACGGCCCAGACUCCUGCGGGAGGCAGCAGUGGGGAAUAUUGCACAAUGGGGGAAACCCUGAUGCAGCGACGCCGCGUGCGGGAUGAAGGCCUUCGGGUUGUAAACCGCUUUCACCACAGACGAAGCGCAAGUGACGGUAUGUGGGGAAGAAGCGCCGGCUAACUACGUGCCAGCAGCCGCGGUAAUACGUAGGGCGCGAGCGUUGUCCGGAAUUAUUGGGCGUAAAGAGCUCGUAGGCGGCCUGUUGCGUCUGCUGUGAAAUCCCGGGGCUUAACCCCGGGCGUGCAGUGGAUACGGGCAGGCUGGAGGCAGGCAGGGGAGAACGGAAUUCCCGGUGUAGCGGUGAAAUGCGCAGAUAUCGGGAGGAACACCGGUGGCGAAGGCGGUUCUCUGGGCCUGUUCUGACGCUGAGGAGCGAAAGCGUGGGGAGCGAACAGGAUUAGAUACCCCUGUAGUCC